AUUGAACGCUGGCGGCAUGCCUUACACAUGCAAGUCGAACGGUAACAGGUCUUCGGAUGCUGACGAGUGGCGAACGGGUGAGUAAUACAUCGGAACGUGCCCGAUCGUGGGGGAUAACGAGGCGAAAGCUUUGCUAAUACCGCAUACGAUCUACGGAUGAAAGCGGGGGAUCUUCGGACCUCGCGCGGACGGAGCGGCCGAUGGCAGAUUAGGUAGUUGGUGGGAUAAAAGCUUACCAAGCCGACGAUCUGUAGCUGGUCUGAGAGGAUGAUCAGCCACACUGGGACUGAGACACGGCCCAGACUCCUACGGGAGGCAGCAGUGGGGAAUUUUGGACAAUAGGCGAAAGCCUGAUCCAGCCAUGCCGCGUGCAGGAUGAAGGCCUUCGGGUUGUAAACUGCUUUUGUACGGAACGAAAAGCCUCUUUCUAAUAAAGAGGGGUCAUGACGGUACCGUAAGAAUAGGCACCGGCUAACUACGUG
rnacentral:rRNA from 1 species